GAUGAAGAACGUAGCGAAAUGCGAUAAGUAGUGUGAAUUGCAGAAUUCAGUGAAUCAUCGAAUCUUUGAACGCACAUUGCGCCCCAUGGUAUCCCGUGGGGCAUGCCUGUUCGAGCGUCAUUUACCCCCUCAAGCUCCGCUUGGUGUUGGGCGUCUGUCCCGCUUCGCGCGCGGACUCGCCCCAAAGGUAUUGGCAGCGGUCGUGCCAGCUUCUCGCGCAGCACAUUGCGCUUCUCGAGGCACCGGUGGGCCCGCGUCCAUCAAGCUCACCCCCCCAGUUUGACCUCGGAUCAGGUAGGGAUACCCGCUGAACUUAAGCAUAUCAAUAAGCGGAGGA
rnacentral:misc_RNA from 1 species